GUAGGGGUUCUGAGAGGAAGGUCCCCCACAUUGGAACUGAGACACGGUCCAAACUCCUACGGGAGGCAGCAGUGAGGAAUAUUGGUCAAUGGACGAGAGUCUGAACCAGCCAAGUAGCGUGCAGGAAGACGGCCCUAUGGGUUGUAAACUGCUUUUAUAAGGGAAUAAAGUGAGAGUCGUGACUCUUUUUGCAUGUACCUUAUGAAUAAGGACCGGCUAAUUCCGUGCCAGCAGCCGCGGUAAUACGGAAGGUCCGGGCGUUAUCCGGAUUUAUUGGGUUUAAAGGGAGCGUAGGCCGGAGAUUAAGCGUGUUGUGAAAUGUAGACGCUCAACGUCUGCACUGCAGCGCGAACUGGUUUCCUUGAGUACGCACAAAGUGGGCGGAAUUCGUGGUGUAGCGGUGAAAUGCUUAGAUAUCACGAAGAACUCCGAUUGCGAAGGCAGCUCACUGGAGCGCAACUGACGCUGAAGCUCGAAAGUGCGGGUAUCGAACAGGGUUAGAUACCCUGGUAGUCCGCACGGUAAACGAUGGAUGCCCGCUGUUGGUCUGAAUAGGUCAGCGGCCAAGCGAAAGCAUUAAGCAUCCCACCUGGGGAGUACGCCGGCAACGGUGAAACUCAAAGGAAUUGACGGGGGCCCGCACAAGCGGAGGAACAUGUGGUUUAAUUCGAUGAUACGCGAGGAACCUUACCCGGGCUUGAAUUGCAGAGGAAGGAUUUGGAGACAAUGACGCCCUUCGGGGCCUCUGUGAAGGUGCUGCAUGGUUGUCGUCAGCUCGUGCCGUGAGGUGUCGGCUUAAGUGCCAUAACGAGCGCAACCCCUCUCCUUAGUUGCCAUCAGGUUAAGCUGGGCACUCUGGGGACACUGCCACCGUAAGGUGUGAGGAAGGUGGGGAUGACGUCAAAUCAGCACGGCCCUUACGUCCGGGGCUACACACGUGUUACAAUGGCAGGUACAGAGAGACGGUCCCUUGCAAAACGGAUCAAAUCCUUAAAGCCUGUCUCAGUUCGGACUGGGGUCUGCAACCCGACCCCACGAAGCUGGAUUCGCUAGUAAUCGCGCAUCAGCCAUGGCGCAGUGAAUACGUUCCCGGGCCUUGUACACACCGCCCGUCAAGCCAUGAAAGCCGGGGGCGCCUAAAGUCCGUGACCGUAAGGAGCGGCCUAGGGCGAAACUGGUAAUUGGGGCUAAGUCGUAACAAGGUA
rnacentral:rRNA from 1 species